rnacentral:rRNA from 1 species
GACGAACGCUGGCGGCGUGCUUAACACAUGCAAGUCGAACGGAAAGGCCCUGCUUUUGUGGGGUGCUCGAGUGGCGAACGGGUGAGUAACACGUGAGUAACCUGCCCUGGACUUUGGGAUAACUUCAGGAAACUGGGGCUAAUACCGGAUAGAAGUUCCUGCGGCAGGGGGGGGGUUGGAAAGUUUCGGCGGUUGGGGAUGGACUCGCGGCUUAUCAGCUUGUUGGUGGGGUAGUGGCUUACCAAGGCUUUGACGGGUAGCCGGCCUGAGAGGGUGACCGGCCACAUUGGGACUGAGAUACGGCCCAGACUCCUACGGGAGGCAGCAGUGGGGAAUAUUGCACAAUGGGCGGAAGCCUGAUGCAGCAACGCCGCGUGCGGGAUGACGGCCUUCGGGUUGUAAACCGCUUUCGCCUGUGACGAAGCGUGAGUGACGGUAAUGGGUAAAGAAGCACCGGCUAACUACGUG